UGCCUAUCCACCCCGUGGUGCCAAACCCAUAUACUCUCCUAUCCUCAAUACCUCCCUCUACUACCCAUUAUUCUGUUCUGGAUCUCAAACAUGCUUUCUUUACUAUUCCUUUGCACCUUCAUCCCAGCCUCAAUUCGCUUUCAGUUAGACUAACCCUGACACCCAUUAGGCUCAGCAAAUUACCUGGGCUGUACUGCCGCAAGGCUUCACAGACAGCCCCCAUUACUUCAGUCAAGCCCAAAUUUCAUCCUCAUCUGUUACCUAUCUCGGCAUAAUUCUCAUAAAAACAC
rnacentral:lncRNA from 1 species